GACAGAGGGGGCAAGCGUUGCUCGGAAUUACUGGGCGUAAAGGGCGCGUAGGCGGGAUGGCAAGUCGGUCGUGAAAUCCCUCGGCUUAACCGGGGAACUGCGUCCGAUACUGGAUGACUUGAGUUCGGGAGAGGGAUGCGGAAUUCCAGGUGUAGCGGUGAAAUGCGUAGAUAUCUGGAGGAACACCGGUGGCGAAGGCGGCAUCCUGGACCGACACUGACGCUGAGGAGCGAAAGCCAGGGGAGCAAACGGG
rnacentral:rRNA from 1 species